rnacentral:rRNA from 1 species
CUGUGCAAAGGUAGCAUAAUCAUUAGCUUUUUAAUUGAAGGCUUGUAUGAAGGGUCUGACAAAGAAAAAGCUGUCUUUAAUUUUAUUUUUUGAAUUUAACUUUUAAGUGAAAAGGCUUAAAUGAAUUUAAGGGACGAUAAGACCCUAUAAAUCUUUAUAUUAUGUUAUUAACUUGGAUUUUAAUUAUUUUUUUUGUCUAGAUUUCUAAGUAAAUAAUAAAUAUUUUGUUGGGGUGACGAGAAUAUAAAAAUAACUGUUCUUAAAUAAAACAAAGUUGUUUGAUUAAAAAAAAAUUAUAGAUCCUUUUUAGAGAUUAAUAGAUUAAGUUACUUUAGGGAUAACAGCGUUAUUUUUUUUGAGAGUUCUUAUCGAAAAAAAAGUUUGCGACCUCGAUGUUGAAUUAAAAUUUCUCUACGGUGUAGAAGUUGUAGAAGAAAGUCUGUUCGACUUUUGAAAUUUU